AGUACCUAUGUCCUCUAUUAAGCCUUAAGUGAAUCCUUCUAUGCAUCGAAUCAACACUUAACAUUGAUGACCCCCAUCUCUAUCCGCCACCACUACGAAUUUCUACUUUACAGUACCCAUACACCAUUCAAGUGAUUGUUGGUGAGUGAUCUUUUUUAUAACCUUACUUUGAUUGAUUAGAUUAUAGUUAAACUUAAAAAUUAAUAAACUAAUAAAUAAGUUGAUAAGUUAAUAAAUAAAUAAAUAGUAGAUAAAUUAGUAAAAUCAGUAGAUUUUGUAAAUAUCACAGAUCGUAGUUUUCAAUCAUUGCGGAUAGUAUUUAAGUUAGUAAAAUUAGUAAAUUAAGUAUCACAAGUUUUAAAAGAUAAGUUACUUAAGCUAAAAUAAAAAAGAAAAUAUAAAUAUCACAGAUGAAAAAAAAAUUAAAGCUAUCAGUCUUAGUAGGAUUAAUAAAGUUAGUUAAAAGUAUCACAGAUGGAAUGGUCAAACCAUUUUAUCACAGAUAAAGAAAAAUUUUAAAAGCUAUUAGCCUAAGUAAAAUUAAUAAAGUAAGUAAAAAUAUCACAGAUGGGAUGGUUGAACCAUUUUAUCACAGA